CCCAGGACCCAGGCAAGGGGCACGAGUGUGACCCCCCCAGGCCUUCCCCUGGUUCCGUUUCCCUCCCUAGCCCGGUCCCCACGAUGGGUGGGGACAGUGGGCUGUGACAAUGGAUCGCGACUGCUGUUUUUACCUGGCGGACGAUGCGCCCGAAUUCGCUUUAACCAGAUGCCCCUCUUCGCCUGGAGCCCUGGGAGCAGUCCCCCUCUCCGCUCAACAAUAAUUAGCCUUCGAUCUGAUUACCUACCAGGAAUGGCAAGUGGCCUCGCUGAAAGUCUCGGCUCUUUGAGAAAUGAGAGAUGGGAGCCCUCACUGCCGAUGUUUCUUCCACACGCUUUGCUGGGUUAGAGGCAAGCUCAUGACCGCCUUGAAAAGCCAUUUUAGACAAAUCUUCCUUUGCAUUCUUGCUGGAGCCCUUCUCUUAUGCCCUUCCUUGGACAUUUGCUCUUUCACUCCCUCCCCCAUGCACUCACCCCACCCAUAGUGACUGCGCUCCUCCUGCCUGCGACGCUGGCAACAGGCAGCACAGUCUAAGGUCCCUCCCGGGAAAGUGUUCAGAGAGGGUUCCAUUCUGGGAGAGGCCCCCACUUUCCCCAGAGGUUUCAGAUUCGAGUCAACCUUGCUGCUGGCAAAUGUCAGCAGAGAAUUUCAGAGCUUGAAGAAUCCUUAGAGAGCAUCAGUUCGAGUCUCUUACCCGGAAAAAACUGGGGGGCCCGGAGAGGCUAAGGGUCUGGAGCUCAAGAUGCCCGCCAGGCAGUGGCAGGGCAGGGUGGUGCCUGGACUGUGCAGGACGGCUCUGUCUCUUCAGCCUCUCUGUCAUCCCCGUCAGGCCCACUGUAUUUGGAGAUUUCGACGUUGCCUUGGGAACCCCUGCCCCUCCCCACAGUGCCCGCCCAGCCCCCUCCCAUUUCCCCUCCUAGCACUUACUUGCCCCUGGCCCUCCUCCCAGCCUGUUUCCCCCCAUGCGGGCAGGAACUGUAUUGCACUCACUCUAAUAAAUAGAUGAUUGGACCAAUUAA
rnacentral:lncRNA from 1 species